AAGAUUAUAUUUUCUGAGACCAUUUCUAUAGUUUGUUACUAGAGAAGUUUCUCUGAAUGUGUAGAGCACUGGAAACCACAAGGAGAAGACUUAAUCUUCUCUCCUGAGCCUGAAGCCGGCUGUUGUUUCCCCUCCCUGCCACUUGCCAUUGAUGAUUGUUCUCUUCCUCUGGGAGGUUAUAUGCAAGACUGCU
rnacentral:snoRNA from 1 species